rnacentral:SRP_RNA from 1 species
CCGCGCUAGGCGGGGAGUCAGCGGUGCCCUGUACCUGCAAUCCGCUACAGCAGGGCUGAAUCCCCAUUCCGAGGCUGCCGUUUGUGGGGCCGGAUCCCGGUAAGGAGCGUUGAGAGUCGGGUCCCGUGCAAUCGGACGCCGCGAACCAUGUCAGGUCCUGACGGAAGCAGCAUUAAACGGAUGCUUCGAUGUGCCGCGGGGAAGCCUGAAGGGAGCCGCCUGCCGGAGCAUCGCCCGGAAGCGCGUUGUCGAAGAAUGGGUGCGCGG